rnacentral:rRNA from 1 species
GAUGAACGCUAGCGGCGGGCCUAAUACAUGCAAGUCGAACGGUGUCUUCGGACAUAGUGGCGCACGGGUGCGUAACACGUAUGCAACCUACCUUACAUUGGGGGAUAGCCUUUCGAAAGGGAGAUUAAUACCGCAUAAGACAGUAGCUGGGCAUCCAGCAGCUGUUAAAGAUUUAUCGAUGUAAGCUGGGCAUGCGUCCAAUUAGCUAGUUGGUGAGGUAACGGCUCACCAAGGCAAUGAUUGGUAGGGGAACUGAGAGGUCAAUCCCCCACACUGGAACUGAGAUACGUGCCAGACUCCGACGGGAGGCAGCAGUAGGGAAUAUUGGGCAAUGGACUCAAGUCUGACCCAGCCAUGCCGCGUGCAGGAUGAAGGCGUUAUGCGUUGUAAACUGCUUUUAUACAGGAAGAAACGACUCUUGCGAGAGGCAUUGACGGUACUGUAUGAAUAAGCACCGGCUAACUCCGUGCCAGCCGCCGCCGUAACAC